rnacentral:rRNA from 1 species
UACGGGGGGGGUAAGCGUUGUUCGGAAUUACUGGGCGUAAAGGGCUCGUAGGCGGCCCACUAAGUCAGACGUGAAAUCCCUCAGCUUAACUGGGGAACUGCGUCUGAUACUGGAUGGCUUGGAUUCGGGAGAGGAAUGCGGAAUUCCAGGUGUAGCGGUGAAAUGCGUAGAUAUCUGGAGGAACACCGGUGGCGAAGGCGGCAUUCUGGAUCGAUAUUGACGCUGAGGAGCGAAAGCGUGGGGAGCAAACAGG